GGUGGCAACCGGGGGGGGGGCGGCGGCCGUGGAGCUGGGGUGGCAGCAGAGACGGUGGCACCGGCAGCAGUGGGCAGCAGCGAAGAAGGUGGAGGGCCGGCUCCCAACUGCAAAGGCCACACAGCUCAAGGAAGAGAAACUAAAACCUUGUGCUCAAGCGCCACCUACUGGAAAACAAAAGAAAGGCUUCUAAUUGCCAACCUAUUGAACUCCAAAUGAAUAAAAUCUUACCCAAGUGUGAA